UGGGAUGUGGUGGAGCAGCUAGAGCUCUGGCUUUAGAAGUAAGAGGUCCUGAGUUCAAUUCCCAGCAUCUCAU
rnacentral:tRNA from 1 species